AAUAGAUACCCGGGUAGUCCAUGCCGUAAACGAUGUCUACUAGCCGUUGGGGCCCUUGAGGCUUUAGUGGCGCAGCUAACGCGAUAAGUAGACCGCCUGGGGAGUACGGUCGCAAGACUAAAAACUCAAAUGAAUUGACGGGGGCCCGCACAAGCGGUGGAGCAUGUGGUUUAAUUCGAUGCAACGCGAAGAACCUUACCUGGCCUUGACAUACAGAGAACUUUCCAGAGAUGGAUUGGUGCCUUCGGGAACUCUGAUACAGGUGCUGCAUGGCUGUCGUCAGCUCGUGUCGUGAGAUGUUGGGUUAAGUCCCGCAACGAGCGCAACCCUUUUCCUUAUUUGCCAGCACUUCGGGUGGGAACUUUAGGGAUACUGCCAGUGACAAACUGGAGGAAGGCGGGGACGGACGUCAAGUCAUCAUGGCCCUUACGGCCAGGGCUACACACGUGCUACAAUGGUCGGUACAAAGGGUUGCUACUGCGCGAGCAGAUGCUAAUCUCAAAAAACGCCGAUCGUAGUCCGGAUCGCAGU
rnacentral:rRNA from 1 species